rnacentral:rRNA from 1 species
AGCAGUCGCCGCGGGAAUACGGAGGGUGCAAGCGUUAUCCGGAUUUAUUGGGUUUAAAGGGUCCGUAGGCGGAUCUGUAAGUCAGUGGUGAAAUCUCACAGCUUAACUGUGAAACUGCCAUUGAUACUGCAGGACUUGAGUAAAUUUGAAGUGGCUGGAAUAAGUAGUGUAGCGGUGAAAUGCAUAGAUAUUACUUAGAACACCAAUUGCGAAGGCAGGUCACUAAGAUUUAACUGACGCUGAUGGACGAAAGCGUGGGGAGCGAACAGGAUUAGAUACCCCAGUAGUCCCUGUCUCUUAUAC